AAAGAAGCUUUGGAAGCCCUUAUCUGUAGCCUUAAAAAGGAGGAGUUAGAAAAGGCUGGAAAGGAUUCAGAUGGAAAACCACAAUCCAGUGGAAGCUCAAAAAGCUCUGAGGGUUCUGAAGAUGAAGAUGAAGGUGAAGGAGAUACUUCUUCUUCUGAUUAAUUGUCCCUGGCUGUAUUGAAGACUGGGAGGGGUGCUGGAAGGUGUGGUGGAAGUUGGGCUGCUGUUUGGAAGGUUGUUGUCUUGUUUGUUUUUGUA
rnacentral:lncRNA from 1 species